rnacentral:rRNA from 1 species
GACAGAGGAUGCAAGCGUUAUCCGGAAUGAUUGGGCGUAAAGCGUCUGUAGGUGGCUUUUUAAGUCUGCCGUCAAAGACCGGGGCUUAACCCUGGAAAGGCGGUGGAAACUGAAUUGCUAGAGUGUCGUAGGGGUAGAGGGAAUUCCCGGUGUAGCGGUGAAAUGCGUAGAGCUCGGGAAGAACAUCGGUGGCGAAAGCGCUCUACUGGACGACAACUGACACUCAGGGACGAAAGCUAGGGGAGCGAAUGGG